rnacentral:rRNA from 1 species
CAAUAGCGUAUAUUCAAGUUGUUGCAGUUAAAAAGCUCGUAGUUGGAUUUCUGGUUGAAGCGACCGGUCGGGCGUUGAUUCGUCUGCACUGGAGUCGGUUUUGGCCAUCCUCUAGGAAAGUGCGUCUGGUAUUAAGUUAUCGGGCGUAUGAUCCUGGUCUUUUACUGUGAAAAAAUUAGAGUGUUUAAAGCAGGCCUUCGCCUUGAAUACAUUAGCAUGGAAUAAUAAGAUAGGACUUUGGUCUAUUUUGUUGGUUUGCAGACCGAAGUAAUGAUUAAUAGGGAUAGUUGGGGGUAUUUAUAUUCCGAUGUCAGAGGUGAAAUUCUUAGAUUUUCGGAAGAUAAACUUAUGCGAAAGCAUUUACCAAGGAUGUUUUCAUUAA